rnacentral:rRNA from 1 species
UACGUAGGGUGCAAGCGUUAAUCGGAAUUACUGGGCGUAAAGCGUGCGCAGGCGGUUUUGUAAGACCGAUGUGAAAUCCCCGGGCUUAACCUGGGAACUGCAUUGGUGACUGCAAGGCUUGAGUGUGUCAGAGGGAGGUGGAAUUCCGCGUGUAGCAGUGAAAUGCGUAGAUAUGCGGAGGAACACCGAUGGCGAAGGCAGCCUCCUGGGAUAACACUGACGCUCAUGCACGAAAGCGUGGGGAGCAAACAGG